AGCCAAAGGCCGCAGGAUUGUCUGGCAUCAACAAAUUCAGCUGAUGUUCCUGUAAUGGGAUUGGUUUGUUUAAUUUUCUGAUAUAAGGACAAAAUAUAAUUAAAAAUACCGCAUUGAUGAAUUAAACAGUUGAUAAUAUGUUCUUGUUUAUAGCAAGACACAUGUUGCGAAGCUUCGUCGUAGCACAGAGAUCGCCACGCCUGUUGCUACAUCGUGACAUACGCAGCAUGCCCGUGCUGUAUGCUAAGGUUUUUGUUGAGUUUGAGAAUCAGCACGCACACAGCAUUUUAUCGGAUUCUCUAAAGCCGUAUAAGAUUGUGCGCCCCAGCGAUUGGUUAAAAACAACUUCAACUGAUACUCAUAAUGAUGCGCCAAUGCGUGUGUUAGAGCCCUCAAAGAAUGCACAACCAGUUGAAUUGUAUGUGGACUUCCAAGCUCUGGUCCAAUACUGUGCGCACACGUCUAUACAAAUUAGCGACGAUCGUUUUUCUGACUUUAUAGCCAUCUAUUGCGCAGAGCUACAUAAGCUGAGCGACGAUCAACUGCUGGGUACGCUGCUUUGCCUACAACAAUUACCGACGCCAGUGUCCACAAAGGUGGCCAACUACAUGGAGCUGUGGAACACAUUGGACAUCGAGUGUUGUCGCCGUAUCGAACGCUGGCCUAGCUCCCAAUUAUUACUGGUAAGCGAUGCCUGGUACCAGCUCGGACUUGCACGCAUUGGUGAAUUUGUGUGGCUCGCGCUACGCAGACUUGGCCGCAAGAUACGCAAAAUGCCGCCAGAGCAAUUGGUGCAGUCCAUGUUUUUGUGCAAUCUCCUGCGUCGCCCCGUAUUUGAAAUGUUUGAUUUUGAGCUAAAUUUGACGCAGUGCAUACAUCAAAUGACACUAAAGGAGCUGGGAGUCAUGGCCAUGGGCUUCUUCAAGACACAGACGCCCAUACGCAGCACCGAGUUGUUGCAGCAGUUCUACACUCGCCUAGAAGCGGAGCUGGAUACCGUCGAAAACAUUACGCUAGUUUCUCUGCUCAAGAUAUUGCGCUACAGUAGUAAAUUGCCACAUGUAGCGGCACUCACCCAGCUACUUGUGGCGCUGCAACCGCAAGUAGAACGCGUCUCGCUGCUGACUUGCUUGCACAUGGCACUACUCGGCUGCGAACUGCAGACAUGCAAUGAUGAGCUUGUGGAGCGCAUUCUGCUACGUUUCGAACGCGAACUAGAUGCGGCCCGUCUUAAGGAUUUGGAGCGCAUUUGUCUGGUCAUAGCUUUAUUUAAUAUAAACACAGCUAGUGGCGUUGAACGCCGUCUAGCUACACGUUUUCCGGAAAUGCUGCGUGGCCGCAUUGAUGAGAUCUUGCGCUACCCACGCUGCUAUACCAACUGCCUGCAGUUUCUCAGCAUGCGCGGCAUUUACGAUAUUGAGCAAUUGAGUGUAGUAUUGGAGCCGCGCUUUCUACGCCACGCCUACCGUGAUGGUCUGCCAGGUCGCGAAUACUUCCACCUGGAUAGUUAUGCCCACCUACUGGGCUCAGAGUAUGAUGGACCACGGCUUACCGAUCGGCAACGUCAGCAAAUGGGUAAACUGUAUACACAAUAUAUACCGGAUCGCACAGAUGGCCGCUUUAAACUCAAUAGCACAGAUCGAGUUCUGUUGGAGAUUCGCGAUGCUCUAGGCAGUCUGCUGCGCACCACAGUUAGUCUGAAGCAUAUUCUGCCCCACUACGAUCGCUGCGAUAUGAUCGUAUGCUAUAAUCGACAACAGCAGCGCCCUGUGCCAUUGAAUGUCGACAACUGUCCGGAAGACUACAGUGGAGUCUUGCUCACACGGCAGCAUUUGCUUGGUUCCAUGGAGGCGCCAUACAUAGAUACACUGAUAAUUACGGUCGCCGGCUGGAAUAAUGUUAUACGCGAAAAGGAACGAUACACGGGACAGUUUGCUUUGAAGCUAAAACAACUGAAGCAGCUUGGGCACAAGACAGUUGUGAUUCUUUGGCACGAGUGGAACGCACUGGAAACACCAGCGGAUCGGCAAGACUUCUUGAAACGACGUCUUCGCCAGGCAACCAACAUGUGACUGGCCUGAUAAUCGAAAAUCAUUUAUGUUAUGCUAAUCAUAGGAAUAACUAUAGUAAUAAUAUCUUUAAAUCUGAUUGAUGAUAUGGAUCAUAGAGGAGUAUUCAUUCAUAAAUUAUAUUUGUCUUUCAUGGACCCAAUCAAUAAAUAUG